rnacentral:rRNA from 1 species
GGAUUGGUGCCUUCGGGAACUCUGAGACAGGUGCUGCAUGGCUGUCGUCAGCUCGUGUUGUGAAAUGUUGGGUUAAGUCCCGCAACGAGCGCAACCCUUAUCCUUUGUUGCCAGCGGUUAGGCCGGGAACUCAAAGGAGACUGCCAGUGAUAAACUGGAGGAAGGUGGGGAUGACGUCAAGUCAUCAUGGCCCUUACGAGUAGGGCUACACACGUGCUACAAUGGCGCAUACAAAGAGAAGCGACCUCGCGAGAGCAAGCGGACCUCAUAAAGUGCGUCGUAGUCCGGAUUGGAGUCUGCAACUCGACUCCAUGAAGUCGGAAUCGCUAGUAAUCGUGGAUCAGAAUGCCACGGUGAAUACGUUCCCGGGCCUUGUACACACCGCCCGUCACACCAUGGGAGUGGGUUGCAAAAGAAGUAGGUAGCUUAACCUUCGGGAGGGCGCUUACCACUUUGUGAUUCAUGACUGGGGUGAAGUCGUAACAAGGUAAGCGUAGUGCU